GUUAUCUGACACUGCAGGAGACGCCAGGCAUUCAGGGCAUUCUUUGUCCGUGGAGAAAGAAGGAGGGAGACAGCGAGUGAGGCAGCGAGGGGGUGGGGUGCAGGAGGAAAGACAAUGCGAAAGCCACUAAAGGCCUGGGAAUUGAGGAGAACACCUUUUGGGAGCAGGUUAUAGUCACAUCUUUUUAAUCUGCUAAAAGAUCCUAGCGUCUCAACAGUCUUGGGUCUUCUUUGUUGUAUUUUCUGUUUCAUGAUGCUCCAAAUGUUUUCAAUUGCUGCAUGUUCCCUCUUCUACUUUGAAGCCAUACUGUGGGAAUAGUUUCAGCAUGUGUCUAAAAUAUGCAUGCCCUUUCCUGAGAAAACACAUCGUGUGGAUGGGAGCAUAUGUUAUCUAAAACCUAAACAC
ensembl:lncRNA